rnacentral:rRNA from 1 species
UCAAGCUACUAAGGGCAUACGGCGGAUGCCUAGGCGCCAUGAGCCGAUGAAGGACGCGGUAAGCUGCGAAAAGCCACGGGGAACUGCAAGCAAGUAUUGAUCCGUGGAUAUCCGAAUGGGGAAACCCAACUACCGUCAUGGGUAGUUAUCCGAAAGGAAGGGAACCUGGGGAACUGAAACAUCUAAGUACCCGGAGGAAAAGAAAUCAAACGAGAUGCCCACAGUAGCGGCGAGCGAAGAGGGCAGAGCCCAAACCGUAAAGCUACGGCUUUGCGGGGUUGAGGACCGGCAUAAUCGAAGUCAGGUCUAGCUGAACUACCUGGAAAGGUAGGCAAUAGAGUGUAAAAGCCACGUAAGCGAAAGACAGAGCGGAGAGGCCGAGAUCCAGAGUACCACGAAGCACGAGGAAUUUUGUGGGAAGCAGGGGGGACCACCCUCCAAGGCUAAAGACUAAAUGGCGACCGAUAGCGCAUAGUACCGUGAGGGAAAGGUGAAAAGAACCCCGGGAGGGGAGUGAAAGAGUACCUGAAACCGUAUGUCUACAAGCAGUCGGAGCGAAAGCGACGGCGUGCCUAUUGAAGAAUGAACCAACGAGUUACGUGCAGUAGCGAGGUUAAGUGGAAGACACGGAGCCGAAGCGAAAGCGAGUCUUAAGAGGGCGACUAGUUGCUGUACGUAGACCCGAAACCGCAGUGAUCUACCCAUGUCCAGGUUGAAGCGCAGGUAAAAUUGCGUGGAGGACCGAACCGGUGAGCGUUGAAAAGCUUUCGGAUGAGAUGUGGGUAGAGGUGAAAUUCCAAUCGAACGCGGAGAUAGCUGGUUCUCCCCGAAAUAGCUUUAGGGCUAGCCUCAAGUAGUAAGUAUAGGCGGUAGAGCACUGAUCGGGCUAGGGGCCGUAAAGGUUACCGAACCCUGUCAAACUCCGAAUGGUUAUACUGCAAAGCUUGGGAGUCAGACUACGAGUGAUAAGAUCCGUGGUCAAAAGGGAAACAGCCCAGACCACCAGCUAAGGUCCCCAAUGCCGUACUAAGUGGAAAAGGAUGUGGGGUCUCAUAAACAACCAGGAUGUUGGCUUAGAAGCAGCCACCAUUUAAAGAGUGCGUAAUAGCUCACUGGUCGAGAGACCCUGCGCCGAAGAUUACCGGGGCUAAAGUACGGAACCGAAGCUGUGGCUACAUACGUAAGUAUGUGGGGUAGGGGAGCGUUCCCAUAGGGUUGAAGUCGUACUGUAAGGUACGGUGGACUUGUGGGAAGUGAGAAUGUUGGUAUGAGUAGCGAAAAGAAAGGUGAGAAUCCUUUCCACCGAAAGCAUAAGGAUUCCUGGGCAACGAUCGUCGUCCCAGGGUAAGUCGGGACCUAAUCCGAGGCAGAGAGCGUAGGAGAUGGACAACUGGUUGAUAUUCCAGUACCGGUGAUAAUUGUUUGAGCGAUGGAGUGACACAGGAGGGUAGGUCAGCAGGAGAUUGGUUGUUCCUGUGAAAGCGUGUAGGAUGGCAGAUAGGCAAAUCCGUCUGCUGAAAGUCUGAGGCGUGAGACGAGAUGGUAGAAAUACCGUCGAAGUGAUUGACCCCACACUGUCGAGAAAAGCUUCUAGUGAGAUUAUAACCGCCCGUACCGUAAACCGACACAGGUAUGCGGGGAGAGAAUCCUAAGGUGCGCGGGAGAACCCUCGUUAAGGAACUCGGCAAAAUGUACCCGUAACUUCGGGAUAAGGGUAGCCGCUGUUGUGAAGUCCCUGCGGAUGGAGCAUAAGGCGGUCGCAGAGAAGAGGCCCAAGCGACUGUUUACCACAAACACAGGUGCCUGCUAAAGCGAAAGCUGACGUAUAGGUGCUGACACCUGCCCAGUGCCGGAAGGUUAAGGAAGGAUGUCCGGAUUAGUCCAAAGCAUUCGACCGAAGCCCCGGUGAACGGCGGCCGUAACUAUAACGGUCCUAAGGUAGCGAAAUUCCUUGUC